AACCAGAAGAAUCUGCUGUAUAGUGCCUGGGGUCUAUUCACAGGGCUGUAGCUAUUAGAUUGCCUUUUUAUUUUUUCAUGUUUUCCCUUUGUAUAUUACAUUGGAAAUUGAGACUGAGCUUCAAUCCACAGUAGUAGCCUGUGGCAGUGGGUGGGCUCCUUUGGGAAAGCAGUCUGCACAGGAGUCCUGAACAGAGCCCUUAAGAAUAUGGAUGAAAAGAGAAGAGCUCAGAUAUGAAGGGAAGUAUCUAGAAGAGGCUUUAGUAUGGUUUAGAGUGCAACAUGCAACUUUACCCUCAAGGAGGGUGGCUGAAAAAGAGUGGAAAAACAGCCAUCAUGGAAAUAAAGUUAAUGGAUGGAUCCUUUCCACUGGGGCUUUUAUAAACAGUUGGUUUAGGGACUGUUAGAGCACUCACUAAAUAUCAUUGUGAAAGGGAAAAAGUACAGUGUCUAUUCUGUAUAAUUUAUGUGCUUGUAAACUGCUGUUACUGCUCUGUCAAAAAAUUAAGCACACUGUUUUUCUCAAUAGUAAUUUACUUACUUUUUAUUAUGUAUUUAACCAGCUGAGGUCUAACCUACAUGCAAUUAUCCAAACUACAAGAGUGGUUUGUAUAAAUAUUUAGGGUGCUUGGUGUCAUUUUCUGACGUGUGAUUGAAGCUCUUAGCUUGUCCCACCCCUAAAGUGACCAAAUUAAUCUAACAGUGCUUUUCUAUUGGCCUUCUCCAACAUAGAUAUUCCUUCUUAAUUCAGAAGUUAUGUUAAUUUUAAAGUGUAACUGAGUUUAUGAUCAUAAAAAUGCAUGUGUAUAUGUGCACAUGCACCUUUUUAAUGAACAUGUAUAAUUAAUACCAGAGGAUUAAUAAGAAUCCAUUGGACUUUUAGAAAUCAUCUACAAAAAUACACCUGCCAAUGAUUGUCUAAUUAACACGAAAGCUUCUGCCUAGUGUAUGAAAUAAUUGCUUUAUCAUCUACAUUGUUUAUUCAUGCAACAUUUAGUUAGGGUGGAGUGAAUAUUUGGUUUUUAAAAUUAAGUUUCUUAGGUUAUGUCUUUUUUUUGUGGAAAAGAAAUCAAGCCCACAAAUGCUUACCCAAUAUGUGAACCAACUACAGUGCUUUUUCAUGGGGUAUUUUUUUCUGCAUAUAACAUUUUCACCAUUUGAAUUCUGAUCAUGUUGCAUAUUUGUAUAUAGGUUGUCAGUCUAAAUUCAUAUUUUUAAAAUAGCAAUAAAAAAA